rnacentral:piRNA from 9 species
UCGCCUGCCACGCGGGAGGCCCGGGU